UUUUUUAUUUUUAUUUUUUUCCCUCCUGCAUUUUAGAGAAAUUUUACAAAUGAUUCCCUCAAGCACCAGGAGCAAGAAUAUUUAAAUAAAGACUUGAACCUAAGGGGUUAUCCUCAGGCCCAAUCAACUAUUUUAAGGGCAAAAGCCCUUCCUCUUAGAUUUGCAGGUUCCUGGUGCCCUCUGGUGGAUGACAUGGUUACAUUUGUGGGUAAGAGGCCAGAGCUCUGAUUGGGCGCUCCUCCCUGGGGAACCUGCCGCCCCAGCUCUGAUGCCAGCAAGAGGAGGAGGAAAUUUCAGCAGCUGUGCACCUCACAUGCAUGAGCUCUUCUGUCCACCACACUCUGCUUUCCAGAUCAGUGAGCUGAAGCUUAGAGACAUUAUGUGCGAGUAGCUAAGGGGUAAUUCUGAUUCAGGACCAAGUAUCCCGAACUCCUAAUGGUAAGAAGUAUCGGUCCCUGUCUCCGUGUCUCUCUCUCUCUCUCUCUCUCUCUCUCUCUCUAGCGUGCGCACACACACACACACACACACACACACACACACGGAGAAAGAAGACAGCAGAGUUUUCACCAAAAUGUGUCCCUUAGCCACUUUACCCAGUUUCAAGCAGCAUAUAGCUAGAGUUUUUGAGUUAAAAUGUCCCAAUUUAGGGCACUAGAAGUUUCACAUUUCUUUCAUUUGACUCAAAUACAUGGUUUUAUUUCCCACUAGUGACUCAGGCCCAGAUUGUGAGGAGGCAAGAUGGGAUUACCUGGACUAAAUGUGUUCAUCAGUUAAGUGGUGCUGGAUAUCACUUCCCUUCUGUGUGUUGGAAGAAAAUUGUCUUUAAAGACAUGUUAACCUAAAAGAGAUUUUUUUUUUUUUUUUGCACACCUGACCUAAACCUUUAAUGAGUCCUUGCUCCUUUCUCCCUUCUCUUCUCCAUCUGAGCAAGAUGUUUUGUGUGCGUGGCAGAAACAUUUGAGGAUCUGCCUGAGAGCUAGAUGUCCAGUGGAACAAAAACCCAUCCUUAAUCCCAUGACCUUGUCCUUAACCAGUCCAUACUCUUCCUCUCCCUCCCCCAAAUCUCAAUUAUAGUUUUAAACUAUAGCAGUGAUUCUCAGAUUGUGGUUCCUCACUGCCUGGGAACCUGACAGAGACUUGGACCUCCCGAGUGGGACCUCUGGAUAUGGGGCCUGGCAAUCUGCCGGCAAAGCCUUCCAAGUGGUUCUGUGUGCUUGCUAUAAGGUUUGAGAGCUGCUGUUCUAGAACAGGGUUCUUAAUCUAGGGUCCAGGGGAAGUUUUAGGGAGUCUAGACUUCCUCGGGUUUGCAUAUAAAAUUUUACAUAUAUAUCAGUUCUCUGGGGAGGGGAUCCAUCCACCUCUUGACCUCAAACAAGUUUUGAACUACUCCUCUAUAUGAGUCGUUUCAUAGUAAACAUUCCCGUCUGCAUUCACAAACUCUUCGCUUUCCUGUUGCUUUGCCUUAAGAUAUCCGGCUUUCCCCCAGAGAAUCUUGUGGUCAGUUUCCCCUAUGCUGUAUCCAGGCCAUUACCCCUCCACAAAGACAUCUCUGCUCUUUUGACACUUGGGGCCCCCCUUUAUUGUGUCAUCUGCUUAUCUUCCAGAUAUUCCAUUCAUUCACUAUAUACUUUGGGUUCCUACAAUCCUGUGACCAUCCUGGG
rnacentral:lncRNA from 1 species